rnacentral:rRNA from 1 species
GACGAACGCUGGCGGCGUGCUUAACACAUGCAAGUCGAACGGAAAGGCCCUGCUUUUGUGGGGUGCUCGAGUGGCGAACGGGUGAGUAACACGUGAGUAACCUGCCCUUGACGUUGGGAUAACUUCAGGAAACUUGGGCUAAUACCGGAUAGGAGCUCCUGCUGCAUGGGGGGGGUUGGAAAGUUUCGGCGGUUGGGUAUGGACUCGCGGCUUAUCAGCUUGUUGGUGGGGUAGUGGCUUACCAAGGCUUUGACAGGUAGCCGGCCUGAGAGGGUGACCGGCCACAUUGGGACUGGGAUACGGCCCAGACUCCUACCGGAGGCAGCAGUGGGGAAUAUUGCACAAUGGGCGGAAGCAUGAUGCAGCACCGCCGCGUGCGGGAUGACGGCCUUCGGGUUGUAAACCGCUUUCGUCUGUGACGAAGCGUGAGUGACGGUAAUGGGUAAAGAAGCACCGGCUAACUACGUG